AUUGUGAAAGCAGACUAAUGCAUAAAAUUUAGAAUUUUAAGGAAACUUCACAAUC
rnacentral:tRNA from 1 species